rnacentral:rRNA from 1 species
CCUACGGGAGGCUGCAGUGAGGAAUAUUGGUCAAUGGCCGAGAGGCUGAACCAGCCAAGUCGCGUGAGGGAAGACGGCCUACGGGUUGUAAACCUCUUUUGUCGGGGAGCAAAGCGAACCACGGGUGGGUCAUUGAGAGUACCCGAAGAAAAAGCAUCGGCUAACUCCGUUCCAGCAGCCGCGGUAAUACGGGGGAUGCGAGCGUUAUCCGGAUUUAUUGGGUUUAAAGGGGGCGCAGGCGGAGGUGCAAGUCAGCGGUCAAAUUGCGGGGCUCAACCCCGUACUGCCGUUGAAACUGCAUCCCUUGAGUGCGCGAGAAGUAUGCGGAAUGCGUGGUGUAGCGGUGAAAUGCAUAGAUAUCACGCAGAACUCCGAUUGCGAAGGCAGCAUACCGGCGCGCAACUGACGCUGAGGCUCGAAAGUGUGGGUAUCAAACAGGAUUAGAUACCCCAGUAGUC